rnacentral:rRNA from 1 species
AACGAACGCUGGCGGCAGGCUUAACACAUGCAAGUCGAACGGAAACUCCGGGAUUAGUGGCAGUCGGGUGAGUAACGCGUGGUGAGGAACCCUUUGCUACGGAAUCCCUCAGGGUAACUUGAGCUCAUACAGCAUGUGCUCUAAGCGGGUAAGACCUAUCGGCACAGGAUCGGCCCGCGUUGGAUUCGCCAGUUGGUGGGGGACUGGCCUGCCAAGGCGACGAUGCAUAGCUGGUCUGGGAGGAGGAUCAGCACCACUGGGGCUGAGACACGGCCCAGACUGCGACGCGAGGCAGCAGUGGGGAAUAUAGUGCGAGGAGCGCAAGCCUGAUCCAGCCGUGUGGCGGAAGAGAUGAAGGGCUUAGGAUUGUAAAUCUCUUUGAGCGGUGAAGAGAAUGACGGUAGCCGGAGAAGAAGCCCCGGCUAACUUCGUG